AAAACUCUUGGAGAGCUUAUUUGCAUCUCGAUAAAUUAAUUCGUGGAGAUUUAAAAUAUAUCUCAUCCAAAAAACAAAUAGCUUAAUUUAUAAUAUAAUAAAGAGUCCAUUUUGAUACAUAAAAAAGGGGAAAAAAAUUUGAUCAUGGCAUUACAUCUUGCUAGGACGCGUGUCAAACAAAGAAUGUCGAGCUUCCGCAAUAAUCUCUUGGGUUGCUUUGUUUCUAACAAGAGUGUAAGUUCCAAAAUAUCGUCCUUUCUCUCCUAAACCUCUUGCACUAAUCUCUAUCUCGUCGUUGACCUUGGCCGUGAAAAGAAAUGAGAUUGACAUAUCUACCGAAACAUUGACGGCACCUCCUACAACAGGAAUCGCAGCACCACUCACCAUAUCAAUAAGGGCCGCAAUUGCAACGUUAGCGUAAUUUCCAUUCCUAUCAAUGAGUCUGGGAGUGACUAUGAAACUGCAGGAAAUGAAUCCAGGCUCGAUUUGAUCAACAAGGAGGCCUCUUGAGGCAAAAUCGUCGAAGAAGCUGCGCUGGACCCUGGGCCUGUGAGGGUGAAGAGUAAACGUCAAAACGCUUUCUGAUUCUUCUUGACUCAGCUGUAAGAACACCCUGGCUUUCUCCAUCUGAUCGCCCCGUUCACCGUCCUUCAUUGAAUGAAAAAUGGCAGGCAGUAGGUACGGAGGCGGAGAUAUAAAACAAUGGAGAUUGUUG
rnacentral:misc_RNA from 1 species